rnacentral:rRNA from 1 species
GGGUUUAAAGGGAGCAUAGGCCGGAGAUUAAGCGUGUUGUGAAAUGUAGACGCUCAACGUCUGCACUGCAGCGCGAACUGGUUUCCUUGAGUACGCACAAAGUGGGCGGAAUUCGUGGUGUAGCGGUGAAAUGCUUAGAUAUCACGAAGAACUCCGAUUGCGAAGGCAGCUCACUGGAGCGCAACUGACGCUGAAGCUCGAAAGUGCGGGUAUCGAACAGGAUUAGAUACCCUGGUAGUCCGCACGGUAAACGAUGGAUGCCCGCUGUUGGUCUGAAUAGGUCAGCGGCCAAGCGAAAGCAUUAAGCAUCCCACCUGGGGAGUACGCCGGCAACGGUGCAACUCAAAGGAAUUGACGG